GAGCAAUCGCGUCAGUGGCAGACGGGUGAGUAACGCGUGGGAACAUACCCUUUGGUUCGGAAUAACUCAGGGAAACUUGAGCUAAUGCCGGCUACGCCCUGGGAUGAGAGUCCGGGGGGAAAGAUUUUUCGCCGAAGGAUUGGCCCGCGUUCGAUUAGCUUGUUGGUGGGGUAACGGCUCACCAAGGCGACGAUCGAUAGCUGGUCUGAGAGGAUGAUCAGCCACAUUGGGACUGAGACACGGCCCAAACUCCUACGGGAGGCAGCAGUGGGGAAUAUUGGACAAUGGGCGCAAGCCUGAUCCAGCCAUGCCGCGUGAGUGAUGACGGCCUUAGGG
rnacentral:rRNA from 1 species